rnacentral:rRNA from 1 species
CCUACGGGAGGCAGCAGUGAGGAAUAUUGGUCAAUGGGCGUAAGCCUGAACCAGCCAAGUCGCGUGAGGGAUGAAGGUUCUAUGGAUCGUAAACCUCUUUUAUAAGGGAAUAAAGUGUGGGACGUGUCCUGUUUUGUAUGUACCUUAUGAAUAAGGAUCGGCUAACUCCGUGCCAGCAGCCGCGGUAAUACGGAGGAUGCGAGCGUUAUCCGGAUUUAUUGGGUUUAAAGGGUGCGUAGGCGGCCUUGUAAGUCAGCGGUGAAAGUCUGUGGCUCAACCAUGGAAUUGCCGUUGAAACUGGAUGGCUUGAGUGUGUUUGAGGCAGGCGGAAUGCGUGGUGUAGCGGUGAAAUGCUUAGAUAUCACGCAGAACCCCGAUGGCGAAGGCAGCCUGCCAGGCCAUGACUGACGCUGAUGCACGAAAGCGUGGGGAUCAAACAGGAUUAGAUACCCCUGUAGUC